GUCGAGCGAGGUUACUGUUUCGGAUCCCUUCGGGGUGAAGAAGCUUUAACCUAGCGGCGGACGGGUGAGUAACGCGUGGGUAACCUACCCCAGAGUCCGGGAUAACAGCGGGAAACCGCUGCUAAUACCGGAUGCCUUUACCUUGGGGCAUCUUGAGGUAAAGAAAGGUAACGCUUUGGGAUGGGCCCGCGUCCCAUUAGCUAGUUGGUGAGGUAACGGCUCACCAAGGCGACGAUGGGUAGCCGGCCUGAGAGGGUGGACGGCCACACUGGGACUGAGACACGGCCCAGACUCCUACGGGAGGCAGCAGUAGGGAAUAUUGCGCAAUGGACGGAAGUCUGACGCAGCGACGCCGCGUGAGCGAUGAAGGUCUUCGGAUCGUAAAGCUCUGUCCUUGGGGAAGAAGGCGAAAGCUUGACGGUACCCAAGAAGAAAGCCCCGGCUAACUACGUGCCAGCAGCCGCGGUAAUACGUAGGGGGCGAGCGUUGUCCGGAAUUACUGGGCGUAAAGGGUGCGUAGGCGGCCCUUUAAGUCGGAUGUGAAAGCCCGCGGCUUAACCGCGGAAUGGCAUUCGAAACUGGAGGGCUUGAGUGUCGGAGAGGGUAGUGGAAUUCCCAGUGUAGCGGUGAAAUGCGUA
rnacentral:rRNA from 1 species